GAGUUUGAUCGUGGCUCAGGACGAACGCUGGCGGCGUGCCUAACACAUGCAAGUCGAACGGAGAACUCAAAAAGCUUGCUUUGAGAGUUCUUAGUGGCGGACGGGUGAGUAACGCGUGGGCAACCUCCCCCUUAAACCGGGACAACCCUUGGAAACGAGGGCUAAUACCGGAUACGCUUUUCUGAGGACAUCCUCGGGAAAGGAAAGGCGGCCUCUGAAGAUGCUGCCGAUAAGGGAUGGACCCGCGUCUGAUUAGCUGGUUGGUGGGGUAAAGCCUACCAAGGCGACGAUCAGUAGCCGGCCUGAGAGGGUGAACGGCCACACUGGGACUGAGACACGGCCCAGACUCCUACGGGAGGCAGCAGUGGGGAAUCUUCCGCAAUGGACGAAAGUCUGACGGAGCAACGCCGCGUGUAUGACGAAGGCC
rnacentral:rRNA from 1 species